rnacentral:rRNA from 1 species
ACAUAGGGGGCAAGCGUUAUCCGGAAUUAUUGGGCGUAAAGGGUGCGUAGGCGGCCAUUUAAGUCUUUGGUAUAAGUGCAGUGCUUAACGCUGUGAUGCUAAGGAAACUGAGUGGCUUGAGUGAGAUAGAGGCAAGUGGAAUUCCAUGUGUAGCGGUAAAAUGCGUAAAUAUAUGGAGGAACACCAGUGGCGAAGGCGGCUUGCUGGGUCUACACUGACGCUGAGGCACGAAAGCGUGGGGAGCAAACAGG